UUUAAAUGUAUAUAUAUUGACAAUAUCUCCAUGAGAGCAACUUCUAAUUGUGUAUUCAUUCUGGAAGGAGAUAAUACUACUAAUAAUAAUCAGAACGGAAAGGUGGACAAACCUAAAUAUACUUAUUGUGUACGAAAAGCGGACUUUUAAAGGUUCCUCUUGAAAGGAGAGUUGUUCCCAUAUUGCCAUAAGUUUCGGUAAGAUGUUUAUUGUUAGACUGAUAAUACAACAAAUCUAUGAUCGACAAAUUCAUUGUUCACAUAAUUUAUUCAUGAUUACACUUGCAAUUAUAUGUUAACAUAUGGUUAUAAUACUUUAGUCUUAAGGUAACGAGACUCGAUAUUUAAAUUAAAACUGUUAUCAAACUUCGGUAUGCCAUUGAAUCAAUUUAGAGCCGUAUCAAUCUAAAACUACGAGGUACACAUAAUAAAAUGUUGACCCAGGUCAGAUGAAUUUAUUAUCUAAGGGUUUUAGAAAUAGUACACAUACAAUGUAUGUAUACAAUCUUCAAUUGAUUGCACUAAACAUUUUGCACAACUGCGUAGCUCGCAGGUUUUUGGAAGAUGUUUUUAAUAUAAGAAAUAAUUCAUAGAAGCCAUAGAUUAUUGGAAAUUUACACAUUGCGUGGUCCGUUAUAUUCGAAUUUUAUCCUGAGCAAAUACGGUCAUUAAAAAACUGAAGCGUGGGUAUGCUGUAUGUGUGGCUGUUCUUUUUUACUCCCUGUUAGAUAAAGCUCAAAUAUCUUUAUAAAUAUGUAGCUUGCGUAGGUUAUUUCGAGAAUGCUAGAAAAAAAAACUUUUUAAUUCUUUAAAUUCUCAAACCCAACAUGUUUUUCUCGUAAGCUUCCGACAAAUCCAAAGUUGACAUUUUGUAACUAAGGAGCCGCCGUGUUGAAUUGCUGAAAUGAGUAAAUAUGUCAAUAAUGCAAUAAAAUAGAAAAUAAAACAAAACCUCCCUCAAAAAAUCAGUUUUAAUACAAUAUCAUACGAAUUCCAAUGGUUCACGUAACAGAAAACUUUCAAUUUUAGCACAAACUAUUAUACAAAGCAAUACACAUAGAUAAUUUCAAGAUAUUUAAGAUGUUUAAGGGAUACUAUACAGUCACAAUGACAGUCUAAAUACACAAAUCAAAAGAGCUAUUUUUAAUUCAUUUUUUAAGACUUUUUUAAUAAACACUAGGCGACAAUUCAGAAGCCUGUAAUUCAGUGGUUGUUGUUUGUUGCUGUUACAUACUAGCUUUUUCUUCAAUUUUCUCUCUCAUAAAAUAGGUCAUUAGCUGUCUCGUUUUAAUUGUUACAUAUUUGUCAUUUCGGAGCCAUGUAAAACUGACAAUGCGGUGUGAACUUUGUUCAUUGUUGAAGGCCAUACUUUGACCUUUUUUUAAAUUUUGUUGUCAUUUUGUUUCAAGAGAAGAGUUUUUUCAAUGAAAAUCAUACCUCAUCUUCUUUUUAUAAAUAUAUAUAAAUACAAGCUCCUAUAACAUUUUCCCAAAAUAAAGUACGAAACAGUGUAAGUUUGUUUACUGUUAGACAUACCCUUUAUUUUUCUUUUGAACUCGAGUAAUGUGAUAUACAUAUGUGUAAUUUCUGUACCAGUGUUUCAAAUUUAAGUUCAUAGUAAUUAUAUGUAUCGCACCUAAGUUUCAAAAUACCAUAAAGCUAUUCAAAUAAGUUCAAAUAAUAUAAUCAAAUGAUUUUUUUCCUUCACCUAGAAUCAAACAUGUAUCUGGAUUUUCGUUUUCCUUUUUCUGGUUCUUAAACAAUAAUAAUUUAACACACAUGUUCAUGACAGGGUGUUAAUGCUUGUGUAACUAAACAGUUUAGUCUCCAGCACAAGAUACAACUGAUGAUCGUGAAAGCUAAAACAAAAAUAAAAAGAAUGCAACCAUGAUUUGAAUAUACUUAUUCAAACAAACCAAUACUAAUUGGACCUUUGUUGAACGAUGAUUAACUUAAAUAUUAGUUUUGAAAAUAAUUGAUACUCAUAGAGGUUUGUCUUAAAAUUUCAUUAUGAAAAUUCGGGAUAAAUAAAUCUUGGGUUGGUUACCUUUAAGAAUAGGUUUUUUCAAAUGAUCGUUCAUUUUACUCGAAUUGUAUAUUAUACGAGGUCGUUAAAUUAACUCAUCACAGAUACCAGGAUAACAAACAUCCUUAAAAUGUUCAUGUUUAUAUGAAAGAAAUCCAAAACGAGUGCGUUCCAUGGUGCCAAAUUCUACGUCUUACAAUUUUGAUAUUGAUGCGAAAAACCUGGAUCAAUAUAUUGUAUAUCAAGUGGUAAUACAUAGUAAUAAUAGACAAACUUUAAUUCAACAAUAAAAUGAUUUGAAUGAAAGUAAUUUAUUUAAAAUUGUUAUCAUAUUGAACAUUAAUUUAUGAAGGUCAAGCACAAGCAAUUAACGUGUACAAAAAAAUGUUUAUAACGUUUUCAAUUUCUCUAACAACAGUUAACACAUUUAGUUCAGCCAGAGUGUCGAUAUAGGUUAUACACUAUUCACGUGGUCAAUCGUCUACUGACAUCAUGAGCAACCACAUGUGGAUUAAUUUGUUUAAUAAAUAAUCCGGAAAGGGUUUGAUUGGUACGGAUUAUAAAAGAAAUAAUAUUUGGUUACAUACGUACCACUUGACUUUAUAUCAUCAGAUGAAUUAACGAGACACUGGUAAACUCUUAAUCAUUGAUUAUUUGUCAUAUAUCUAUUAUCUUGUAGUGCUGUCAUAUAUGGCAUCAUCCUCUGAAAAUUGUGGUGUAUGUGAAAGACGAACCAUCGACAAACCAUUAAUAGUCUGGUGUACAGAAUGUGAUGAAGGACUAUGUGAAGAAUGUCACGAACACCACAGUUUAUCCAAAGGAACCAGAAACCAUAAAACAAUAUCAAUUACUGAAUACAAUAAAAUACCUAUUGAAGUACUUAGGUUCUCUCAAUUCUGUAACACACACAAAGACAAAUUUAUACUUUAUUGCAGAAAGCACGAAUGUCCCUGCUGCAGUAAAUGUAUAGUUGAAAACCAUACAGAAUGCCAUAAUAUCGACAAUUUUGAUGAUGUUAUUCAAAAUGUCAAAACUUCUAAGGGCUACUACGAGAUUGAGGAAACAUUGAUUGAAGUAACAGAAAAUUUACAGAAAAUCCGUCAACAACAACAAGCCAAUCUGUUGACUUUGAACGAAAAAAGAAAAGAAUUCAAAAAAGAAAUGAAAGAGACAAGAACAAUGAUUAUAAAACAUCUGGACAAGCUACACGACGAUCUUAUAAAAAACUAUGACGCUUUGGAAAAGAAUGAAAACAUGAAAAUUCGUCAAAUUUUGUCAUCAUUAGAAAUGCAUGGAAACGAAAUAGUUAAAUACCAGAAAAGCAUUGCAAACAUCAAACGAUAUGCAACUGACUUACAGCUUUUUCUUUCAAUUAAGCAAAUAGAAAAAGACGUAAUGAACAAAGACAAUAUUCUACAUUCACUAAUUCAAGGCGAGACUUUAAAUUAUCGUGCUUUAAACUAUAAAAUCAACACUGCUAUUCAGAAAAUCACUUUCGAUAUCAAAAGCUUUGGGGAAAUAUAUUUUGAAACUGAACAAUGCUAUAUUGUGCUUAGUAGAAAUAAGACAAAACAAGCUCAGAUACUGGUACCAGACGUAACAACAAGCUUACUUGAUAACAUAAAGCUGCAGAAAAGCAGACAGAUAGAUAUGCAAGGAACAAAUAUCUGUGGGUGUUGCAUACUACCGAAUGGUAAAUUGGCGUUUACUUACUUUUGUGACACGACGGUUAAAGUGUUCAAUAUUGACGGAUCAAAGGUCAAUGAGAUAAAAAUGCCAUCUAACGUUUACGAUAUAGUCUAUAUAAGGGCAGACAACACAUUAGCUGUUUCAUCUGGUACAUCAAGAAAACAGUGCGUUACUAUUCUAGAUCUCGAGAAGGAACAAAUUAAGAAAACAAUUUUACUAGAAUCGUCUAAUUUUGGUAUAUCACUUAGAAAAAAUAAAUUAGUCUGUUCCAAUAAGAAAAAAGGCAUACUAAUGAUAGAUCCAAAAGAUAGCACUACAACUACCAUAGUCCGAGCUAAAAUGCAGAACGACUGUUAUACGGCAACAUUUGAUAACAAAAUAUUCCACUCAAAUCCGACAACAAGUGCCGUUGAAUGUUUUAGCCUCCGAGGUAAACUUAAAUGGACAUUCAAAAAUAAAAGCGUUCUGAAAAAUCCCCGUGGUAUUGCUGUCGAUAAAGAUGGUAAUGUGUACGUGGCGGGGAUGAACUCUCAGAACGUUCUUAGUAUCUCUCCUGACGGAAAACAACAUAAGAUAGUAUUAGGGGCGAGUGAUGGUCUUAACAAUCCAUCUGCAUUGUGUUAUAGUAAAUCAAAGAAACAGUUGUUAGUUGCGAACUGUGAUUACGAUGCUCAUUUGUUUGAUUUUAUUUGAAACAUCAGCAUCAAAGUUUGUCUCCAUAAAGUUAUUUUACCAACUUCGAAUAACAAUUCAACUUAUACCACUUACAAAAUAAGUAAAUUUGAAA
rnacentral:lncRNA from 1 species